AAAAUGGGUGGUAAAUUUCAUCUAAAGCUAAAUAUUGGCCAGAGACCGAUAGCGCACAAGUAGAGUGAUCGAAAGAUGAAAAGCACUUUGGAAAGAGAGUCAAACAGUACGUGAAAUUGUUGAAAGGGAAGCGCUUGCAGCCAGACUUGCCCGUGGGUGAUCAGCCGGUAUUUUUACCGGUGCACUCGCCCGUGGUCAGGCCAGCAUCGGUUCGGGCGGCUGGACAAAGUCCACUGGAACGUAGCUCCCCUCGGGGAGUAUUAUAGCCAGAGGUGCAAUGCAGCCCGCCGGGACCGAGGACCGCGCUUCGGCUAGGAUGCUGGCGUAAUGGUUGUAAGCGACCCGUCUUGAAACACGGACCAAGGAGUCUAACAUCUAUGCGAGUGUUUGGGUGUCAAACCCAUGCGCGUAAUGAAAGUGAACGGAGGUGGGAACCCUCAAGGGUGCACCAUCGACCGAUCCUGAUGUCUUCGGAUGGAUUUGAGUAAGAGCAUAGCUGUUGGGACCCGAAAGAUGGUGAACUAUGCCUGAAUAGGGUGAAGCCAGAGGAAACUCUGGUGGAGGCUCGCAGCGGUUCUGACGUGCAAAUCGAUCGUCAAAUUUGGGUAU
rnacentral:rRNA from 1 species